rnacentral:rRNA from 1 species
CCUACGGGCGGCAGCAGUCGAGAAUCAUUCACAAUGGGGGAAACCCUGAUGGUGCGACGCCGCGUGGGGGAAUGAAGGUCUUCGGAUUGUAAACCCCUGUCAUGUGGGAGCAAAUUAAAAAGAUAGUACUACAAGAGGAAGAGACGGCUAACUCUGUGCCAGCAGCCGCGGUAAUACAGAGGUCUCAAGCGUUGUUCGGAAUCACUGGGCGUAAAGCGUGCGUAGGCGGUUUCGUAAGUCGUGUGUGAAAGGCGAGGGCUCAACCCGCGGACGGCAUAUGAUACUGCGAGACUAGAGUAAUGGAGGGGGAACCGGAAUUCUCGGUGUAGCAGUGAAAUGCGUAGAUAUCGAGAGGAACACUCGUGGCGAAGGCGGGUUCCUGGACAUUAACUGACGCUGAGGCACGAAGGCCAGGGGAGCGAAAGGGAUUAGAUACCCUUGUAGUC